AUUGAACGCUGGCGGCAUGCUUUACACAUGCAAGUUGAACGGUAACAGGGAGCUUGCUCCGCUGACGAGUGGCGAACGGGUGAGUAAUGCAUCGGAACGUACCCAGUCGUGGGGGAUAACGUAGCGAAAGUUACGCUAAUACCGCAUACGUCCUGAGGGAGAAAGCGGGGGACCGAAAGGCCUCGCGCGAUUGGAGCGGCCGAUGUCGGAUUAGCUAGUUGGUAGGGUAAAGGCCUACCAAGGCGACGAUCCGUAGCGGGUCUGAGAGGAUGAGCCGCGACACUGGGACUGAGAAACGGCCCAGACUCCUACGGGCGGGAGCAGUGGGGAAUUUUGGACAAUGGGCGCAAGCCUGGUCCAGCCAUGCCGCGUGAGUGAAGAAGGCCUUCGGGUUGUAAAGCUCUUUCAGCCGGAAAGAAAUCGCGCAGGAUAAUACUCUGUGUGGAUGACGGUACCGGAAGAAGAAGCACCGGCUAACUACGUGCCAGCCGCCGCCGUAACAC
rnacentral:rRNA from 1 species